UACAGAGGUCUCGAGCGUUAGGCGGAAUCACUGGGCUUAAAGCGUGUGUAGGCGGAUCGGUAAGUACCUUGUGAAAUCCCACAGCUUAACUGUGGAACUGCUUGGUAUACUGCCAGUCUUGAGCCACUUAGGGGCUACCGGAACAAAUGGUGGAGCGGUGAAAUGCGUAGAUAUGUGGAGGAACACCGAUGGCGAAGGCAGCCCCCUGGGUUAACACUGACGCUCAGGCACGAAAGCGUGGGGAGCAAACAGG
rnacentral:rRNA from 1 species